AUUGAACGCUGGCGGCAGGCCCAACACAUGCAAGUCGAGCGGUUGACGGGAGCUUGCUCCCUGAUUCAGCGGCGGACGGGUGAGUAAUGCUUAGGAAUCUGCCUCUUAGUGGGGGACAACAUUCCGAUAGGAAUGCUAAUACCGCAUACGUCCUACUGGAGAAAGCAGGGGACCUUCGGGCCUUGCGCUAUCAUAUGAGCCUAGGUCGGAUUAGCUAGUUGGUGAGGUAAUGGCUCACCAAGGCGACGAUCCGUAACUGGUCUGAGAGGAUGAUCAGUCACACUGGAACUGAGACACGGUCCAGACUCCUACGGGAGGCAGAAGUGGGGAAUAUUGGACAAUGGGCGAAAGCCUGAUCCAGCCAUGCCGCGUGUGUGAAGAAGGUCUUCGGAUUGUAAAGCACUUUAAGUUGGGAGGAAGGGUUGUAGAUUAAUACUCUGCAAUUUUGACGUUACCGACAGAAUAAGCACCGGCUAACUCUGUGCCAGCCGCCGCGGUAAAAC
rnacentral:rRNA from 1 species